UCUGUGUGUCUGCCUGCUUAAUCACAGCACUCUGCGGACAUGAGUAAUUGUAUGAUCAUUCCAGUUUUAUAGAGGAGGGGAAAGACCCACAGAGAGGCCAAGUGACUGGUCUAAGGUCACACAGCUGAUCGACAGCAGAGCUGGGAUUUGAGUCCAGGCAAUAUGACUUCAGAAGCCCCUUACCAUCCCCGCAUAGACCCAGCCUGCCCCUGAGUAAAGAUACGCAAGUGGCCAACUGGCCUGGACAAUAGCACCCUUGCCCCUACCACAUACAGCCAUUGCCGUGGCUCCUGGGAGACAGAGAAGAUGCACUGGUUUCAUGGGCCAGGCCUGCUGAGAAUAUGGGUCUCCAUGGGCCAGUGUACCACCCACCCACCUGGGAGGCCUUGGGGCCCCUGCACACUGCACUGUCUUUGGGGGUGCCCAACCUGAUCAGAGAGAAGGAGGAGUCAGUGAGCCACUCUCACAUGUGGGUAGGGUGGGAUGCCAAAGCUGCAUGGAACCUGUGUAUCCACCCAGUGACCCACCCAAGGAAGGGGAAGUGCAUUUGUGGACUAGAAAACAAACAGCUUGAUGAUCUUGACACAGAUCCAGCAGAUGCCAUAUUAGUCUCGCUGCUAUAAUGAGUACCAUGGCCUGAGCGGUUUGAACAGCAAGCGUGUAUUCCUCACUGCUCUGAAGCAGUUAAGUCCAAGAUCAAGGUGCAAGCACAUCCAAAGUCAGAAUUACUAGAUCAAGUGGUGUGUCAUUUUGGAGACUCUUGGCAUCUAUUUCCAAAUGGCUUUUAUGAAAGAUCUUGUCAAUCUGCACAGCCACCAAGACUGUACUGAAGUGUGGAGUUCCUGAGAGAUGACUGGAUCACAGGGAUGUGGUACUCAACAGUCCAGUGGUGAGUGUACAGCUAAAUGCAAUGUUGGGGGUGAAGUCUGAUUAGCGGAGGUGGUCACUGGGGCGUCGCCUGGAAGAGUCUAUCUCCCUCCUUCCUCCCCUUGACUUCUCUCUCUCUCUUUCUGCCGCCAUGCUGUGAGCUGUUUCCCCUCUGC